CCUACGGGGGGCUGCAGUGGGGAAUAUUGGACAAUGGGGGGAACCCUGAUCCAGCCAUGCCGCGUGUGUGAAGAAGGCCCUCGGGUUGUAAAGCACUUUCAGUGAGGAAGAACGCCUGGUGGUUAAUACCCAUCAGGAAAGACAUCACUCACAGAAGAAGCACCGGCUAACUCCGUGCCAGCAGCCGCGGUAAUACGGAGGGUGCGAGCGUUAAUCGGAAUUACUGGGCGUAAAGCGCGCGUAGGUGGCUUGAUAAGCCGGUUGUGAAAGCCCCGGGCUCAACCUGGGAACGGCAUCUGGAACUGUCAAGCUAGAGUGCAGGAGAGGAAGGUAGAAUUCCCGGUGUAGCGGUGAAAUGCGUAGAGAUCGGGAGGAAUACCAGUGGCGAAGGCGGCCUUCUGGACUGACACUGACACUGAGGUGCGAAAGCGUGGGUAGCAAACAGGAUUAGAUACCCCAGUAGUC
rnacentral:rRNA from 1 species